GGAAAGGUGCAAGAGUGGUUGAAUUGGCACGCCUGGAAAGCGUGUGUACCGGCAACGGUACCGCGGGUUCGAAUCCCGCCCUUUCCGCAA
rnacentral:tRNA from 2 species